CACUAAGAAGCUUAACCGGGUAAAGCGUUAGCCUUUUAAGCUAAAGAAUGGUGACCCCCAAUCACCUUUAGUGA
rnacentral:tRNA from 1 species